rnacentral:rRNA from 1 species
AGACUUUGAUCCUGGCUCAGGAUGAACCGCUGGCGGCGUGCCUAACACAUGCAAGUCGAGCGCGGUCCCUUUGGUGCUUGCACCGAAGACGACUGAGCGGCGGACGGGUGAGUAACGCGUGGGUAACCUGCCCUGUACAUAUGGAUAACAUGCUGAAAAGCAUACUAAUACAUAAUAACGUACAUUGAAGGCAUCUUCGAUGUAUCAAAGCGUUAGCGGUACAGGAUGGACCCGCGUCUGAUUAGUUAGUUGGUGGGGUAACGGCCUACCAAGACUGCGAUCAGUAGCCGACCUGAGAGGGUGAUCGGCCACAUUGGAACUGAGACACGGUCCAAACUCCUACGGGAGGCAGCAGUGGGGGAUAUUGCACAAUGGGCGCAAGCCUGAUGCAGCAACGCCGCGUGAACGAUGAAGGUCUUCGGAUCGUAAAGUUCUGUUGCAGGGGAAGAUAAUGACGGUACCCUGUGAGGAAGCACCGGCUAACUACGUGCCAGCAGCCGCGGUAAUACGUAGGGUGCUAGCGUUAUCCGGAUUUACUGGGCGUAAAGGGUGCGUAGGUGGUCUUCCAAGUCGGUGGUUAAAGGUUACGGCUCAACCGUAUUAAGCCGCCGAAACUGGAAGACUUGAGUGCAGGAGAGGAAAGUGGAAUUCUCAGUGUAGCGGUGAAAUGCGUAGAUAUUGGGAAGAACACCAGUAGCGAAGGCGGCUUUCUGGACUGCAACUGACACUGAGGCACGAAAGCGUGGGUAGCAAACAGGAAAAGAUACCCUGGUAGUCCACGCCGUAAAC